CAUCACAUCCAAUACCUUCAGUCACAAGAGGUCUCUGCAAUAUCCCACAAUCUAUCAACGACGCUCUACACUGUCAAACAUGAAGUCACCCUCAAGAACUACACCGGCAGUCUUCAGGCUAAAAUCCACACGCAAGAAAUCCCAUCCUCCUCUCAUAACGCAACGAGGAUAAAGCAAAUCUCGAACACUCAAAUCGCAAGUUACAUUAUCCUGGCGUCCUUCAUCUCAAUGUGUGGCAGCCAAGUCAUCGGUACUGCUGUCAUCACCAUUGUCAUCAGCUAUACUCCUUCCCCUGCCACCGUCCCCCGCCACCUCUGCUACUACUACUACUACUGCUCCCACCACCACCACCACCACCACCACCACCACACGCCGCCGCCAGAAGAGUCUCCCCUCUCUCCCCAAUCACACGGGGCGAAAGAUGUCGUUGGUGAAGGACUUAAUCAAAUCUGGAGUGUUUUUCCUCGCGCUAAUCAGAGACGAAGGUUGGGAGCAAGAACUCUAAUGUCAUUUCCAGGCGGUGGACGAAACAAAGCUAAGAGAAGAAAGCUACACACAAACAUGUUUUCAGAGUUUCUUGGGUUGACGAGGUUACGUAUUCACGACGCGACGAACGCCCGUAGAAGAAGCAGCAGCAGCUCGGUGUGUGUGUGUUAUUUUUUUACUCAUACAUAUUUUUGUCUCUAUAUCAGCCAAAUACAUUUUCCUGCA